CAGACCUCCCUCUCUCCCCCAACCUCAGAUCCAUCCACCCGCCGCCGCCCCCGCCCCUUUCUCCCCCAGACCAGGCAAUCUCCUCUCCUCAGCAACGGAGAGAGAGGCGCCGCCGCCCAGCGAGAACAGCAUCGCGGCUGGCUUGCUCGCCGGCGCGCGCAUGCGUGCUUCGAUGCACGGUGCUUCGUCGAGCUGGCCGGACCGCGCGCACGAGAGUAGAGCAUGGAAUCCAUGGGGUCGUCAUCGGGAGAAGACGAGGAGGAGUGCGUGCUGCCGAGCCGGCACCCGAAGCUGGCGAACGUGGCGCCGCGCCGCAGGCCGACAGGCCGGGCCGUGGUACGCGGUGCCGGACCUCAGGCUUCGCGGCCACCGCUUCGCCGUCCCACUCGACCACUCCUUCGCCGGCUCCCCCUCCGCGCCACACAUCACCGUGUUCUCCCGCGAGGUCAUCGCAGGUGGGAAAGAAGAGGUCCCUUUGCCUUAUCUGGUGUACCUACAACGGGGGCCUGGAUAUGAAAGUCCUCGCCCCACCGAAGCGAGUGGUUGGUGAAGAAGGCAUGCGAAGAAUACCGUGUGUUAUUGCUCGAUCAGCGAGGAAUAGGACUGUCAACACCAUUGACAACAUCAUCUCUUUCUCAAAUAACAUCUGUAGCAGAGCAGGUGGAGUAUCUGAAGCAUUUCAGGGUAGAUAACAUAGUUAAGGACGCAGAGUUUAUUCGUUAGCAUCUUGUACCAUAUGCCAAGCCUUGGACAAUUCUUGGACAGGUAUAGCUGACCCAUGGCUUUUAGUGGACAUGUUUCUUAAUUUUUGGUGCAAAAUAUGAUAUGGCUGGCUCUCAUAAGUUCAGUCUAACUAGUAGCUCCAACAGUUGAACAAACAAGCUCAAGAACAUCAUCAGGUCAAGCCAAGACUACACAUACGAUCUAUCCUCCAUUAUGCGAGCCUGCACGUUCCCGUUCCAUUUACAUCAGGUCAUAUAUAGUAUUGCUAAGUAGCUGUUGUUAGGGACAGUGAUACAUGGACUUCAAUUAAGGUUUCUGAUUAGUAUUAUGCUGCUACUGAUGUGCUAUUUAUAGCUAUAGUUUGACACUAUUAAUUAGGUUUGCUGGACAUGCCAUGGUAUAAGCCUUUGUCUUUUUUAGCAUCAACAAAUGUUUAUCUACUGUAAAGUACUAUUAAUUAGGCUUGCUUCUUUCUGUUAGUGCAUCUAUUGUUAAUUACACUUCAAAUGUAGUGUAUAUUACAAUUAUAAUUCAACAGUAAGUGUACUGUUAAACUUACUGCAUUGUCAACCACAAUUUACACUGUAGAAAUACUGAUGCUUGCAUGCUCUUUUCCGUAACUGAACAACCAGGCUGUUGAUCCACCUUGUUGCAGUCAGCGAAGUAGCAGACGGACAUGCCAGCUGUUGGUGCACUGCUGCGUAACACUGAUGCAUAUGUAUGCGACUUGGUCGCCGGCGGCGGUGUCUUGGUUCAGUGUCAACAUCUCAUCUACAGAGCAUAUGGCUACGACUUGAUGGGCACGUGGUGGACUUAAGUAUCUUAGUGACUUCAUUUGAUGUGUGUAUUUCUAUUAAUUUUAAGCUUCUGUUGCUGUGAAAAUGUACCUCACUAACCGUCUGUCUAUUCAUUGUGUACUUCUUGCAUGAGGAGGUGACUAGUGAUGCGGCGCGCGAAGCAGCAGUAGGGGAAGGGGGUCUCUUGCUCGAGGAGGCGGAGGAGUAGGGGCGUGCCCAGCCAAAAGCCAUGUCCUGCUCGUGGGGCAGGGGCGGGAGGGGUCUGCUCCUCUGCUUCCAUUGCGACCGCGGCAGGAGCAACGUUGCUGAUGGCGAUGGGUACGUGAUGGUGGCUAGUGUGGUGGACGACCCAGAAUAUGUGGCCUCGCAAGUGCACAUGAGCUCUAGGCCUAAUUUUUUUGAAGUGUGAAGCCGUGAAGCCAAGUGCAAAGGAGUGAAUCCCUACUUAUCAAAGAGAUUUUUGGUUCUGUAGUAGACUGUAAAUUGUAAUAUUGUAACAGAUUGAAAAAGACUAUUGUAUGUUUGAAUAAUUAUGCAUGUUGAAAAGAUGUGAAAUGGAAACUUGACAAGUGGGAACCACUUAUGAAUAAAAUCUGAGCAUUUUUGAAA